rnacentral:rRNA from 1 species
AGUGAACGCUGGCGGUAGGCCUAACACAUGCAAGUCGAACGGCAGCACAGUAAGAGCUUGCUCUUACGGGUGGCGAGUGGCGGACGGGUGAGGAAUACAUCGGAAUCUACUUUUUCGUGGGGGAUAACGUAGGGAAACUUACGCUAAUACCGCAUACGACCUACGGGUGAAAGCAGGGGAUCUUCGGACCUUGCGCGAUUGAAUGAGCCGAUGUCGGAUUAGCUAGUUGGCGGGGUAAAGGCCCACCAAGGCGACGAUCCGUAGCUGGUCUGAGAGAAUGAUCAGCCACACUGGAACUGAGACACGGUCCAGACUCCUACGGGAGGCAGCAGUGGGGAAUAUUGGACAAUGGGCGCAAGCCUGAUCCAGCCAUACCGCGUGGGUGAAGAAGGCCUUCGGGUUGUAAAGCCCUUUUGUUGGGAAAGAAAAGCAGCAGGUUAAUACCCCGCUGUUCUGACGGUACCCAAAGAAUAAGCACCGGCUAACUUCGG